UACGUAGGGAGCAAGCGUUGUUCGGAUUUACUGGGCGUAAAGGGCGCGUAGGCGGCGCGACAAGUCACUUGUGAAAUCUCCGGGCUUAACUCGGAACGGUCAAGUGAAACUGUCAUGCUAGAGUGCAGAAGGGGCAAUCGGAAUUCUUGGUGUAGCGGUGAAAUGCGUAGAUAUCAAGAGGAACACCUGAGGCGAAGACGGGUUGCUGGGCUGACACUGACGCUGAGGCGCGAAAGCCAGGGGAGCAAACGGG
rnacentral:rRNA from 1 species